rnacentral:rRNA from 1 species
UACGGGGGGGGGUAAGCGUUGUUCGGAAUUACUGGGCGUAAAGAGCUCGUAGGCGGUUUGUUGCGUCGGCUGUGAAAUCCCGAGGCUCAACCUCGGGUCUGCAGUCGAUACGAGCAAACUAGAGUGUUGCAGGGGAGACUGGAAUUCCUGGUGUAGCGGUGAAAUGCGCAGAUAUCAGGAGGAACACCGGUGGCGAAGGCGGGUCUCUGGGCAACAACUGACGCUGAGGAG